UUUUGCGUUCUUCGGAACGUUAGUCAAUUUGAAACUAUACAGAGAAGAUUAGCAUGGCCCCUGCACUAAGGAUGGUAAGUUCGAACCGGAGCAUGCGCACCAAAUU
rnacentral:snRNA from 1 species